rnacentral:sRNA from 1 species
UAGAAACAACUUUUUCCUGAGGAAUAUUCAAAUUUGUUGUUCGGACCGAACAUUACCUUGGACAAAGCCUUCAGAAUAAUUGACGAGGACGGCAGUGGAAAGAUUGCCUUUAGAGAACUUAUACAGUUCAUCGAAGCUCAUGGUAUCAGGAUGCAGGAGAGAUUCCAGGGAUAUAGCAGAGCAGAUGUGGAGAAUGUGGGCCAGUUUUUCUUAACGCUAGGAAAUACUAUACUGACCAAUAUGCCCUCUGCCCAUCUCAAGAAAGGCGACGAAGACCGCACUGUUGGGGUGAACACUGGAUAUGUCUUUAGUUCGGACUACACCCUGGAAGAUGCUGACAGAGAGUUCUUAAUACAAGUAAGCAUCAUUUCUUAU